AUACGGAGGGGGCUAGCGUUGUUCGGAAUUACUGGGCGUAAAGCGUACGUAGGCGGACUGAUCAGUUGGGGGUGAAAUCCCAGGGCUUAACCCUGGAACUGCCUUCAAUACUGUCAGUCUUGAGAUUGGAAGAGGUGAGUGGAAUUCCUAGUGUAGAGGUGAAAUUCAUAGAUAUUAGGAGGAACACCAGUGGCGAAGGCGGCUCACUGGUCCAAUACUGACGCUGAGGUACGUAAGCGUGGGGAGCAAACAGGAUUAGAAACCCCAGUAGUCC
rnacentral:rRNA from 1 species